CAUGGAAAUAUUUUUAAUAAUUUUGUCCAUGAAAUCCACUUUCCCUUUCCAUUAUCAUUGGUGUGGAUUUUCUUCAGGGUUUUACCUCUUGCAUGAACAAUCUUGCAUGGACAAUAACACGUGGUAUUUAUCUUUUUAUUUCACUAUAUACUACUGAAAGUCACUUUCUGUUAGACAAGCUCAAACAUGCUCUUGCAUUUUGCUUUGAAACCAUUGCAAGAUUCCUUUCCUGCUUCCAUUACCAUUUUAUAAGUCUAUUGAAGCCGGAAAAUAAUUUACCCAACAUCAGUCAACCAGGUUGAAACAGAGCCAGAUUUGAAAGUGAACAUUCUUCUAUUUUUUCCCUUACGCUUAGGAGCAUGGGAGCUCUGAGCUCCUGGCCGGUGAGGAAUCUGUGAAGUGAAGAAGGAAUGAAGAGGCCGAAUAGACUCUCAGCUGUUGGGUGUAGGCCAAAGCCAUCACCUGUCUCUAUGGCCCUCUCUCUCCAUUUUCCCUGACAGGCACUGACUUUCAGAGAGCAGAGGAGGGAGAGGGCUCUGAAGGUGGUGAAGGCAGAGACUGGGAGGAAGUCAGAUGUAGAAAACCAAAGAGAACAGCAGAGGGGGAGUAGAAUUUGAUGGAGCGCCAACAGGAGGGAAUUGAGAUUAGUGAGCGUUUAUGGUCUUUAGAGGGAUCCUGUCGGACACUUUCACCUGCAUUAUUUAUCAAACCUCAUAAAACUGUCCUAUUAUCAGUCCCACUUUAGAGAUGAGGAAACUGAAGUUGGGCAAAAAUCAGUCUCUUGCCUCAAAUUAGACAGUUAGUAAAUGGUGAAACAGAAGCGUGACCCAAAGGACUGAGCACUUGCGAUGAACCUUUUCUGGGGACUGAGGAGAAAAAGAUUCUUCAGGUAAUUUCUGUAAAACUGUGGCAGUACUCCAGGAUAAAGAAAACUGUAAGAUGUAUUCAGACACAGAUUGCAAGGCAAAGGGUGCACGUGAUACCAGAGAAAAGGCGACAUAUAUUUUCUCAAGAGCCCAACACAGAGGUCCUGCAAAUACGAGGUGAGUUGGACAAAUAUACUAACAGGAUCUGUCUUGGUUUAAGUACUAGAGCCAGGAGUCAGAGUGUUUGUUCAAAUGACUCAUUAAGAGGGUGCCCUGAGGACAAGGAGAGGGAAGGAAGUAGGACAGAGGAAUGAUGUGUACAUUUAGGUGUGAUCUAAGCUGGAUCAAGGGAUAUCCAGAAAGCAGGUACAGCAGUACUUGUGAUUAUGCCUGUAAGGAUGUUUCAGGACCAGCAUGAAGUCAGGAGACAGAGUGGAGAAGAUCCACCCUCAGGGUGGGCAGACAGCAUCCUAUCUGCAGGAACCUGAUGGAACACAAAGCCAGAGGAACAGUGGAUUUAUUCUCUCCAUCUCUGACAGUCAGAAGGGUGUCUAGAGCUGGGAUAUUCUUCUUUUACCCUUGAACAAUAGAAUUCCAGGUUCUCCAUUUGGACUCCAGAACUGGUACUAGGACCCGCCCACCCCUAUGCAUCCUCAGAUCUUUUCUUGGUUCAGAGGACUUUGGACUUGGAGCCACAUUAUGGGCCUUCCUGCUUCUCCAAUUUGAAACAGCAUGCCAUGGGACUUCUCAGCCCAUGUAAGUCAAUUCCCCGAUAAAUCCUCAGUCGUCUGUCUAUCUACCAAUGAGCCAUCUAUCCCAUUGGCUCUGUCUCCCUCAAAAACACUCAUAGGAAGGGGAAAGGGCUAAGCAACAGUAUGUUCUCAGGUGGAGACAAGAUUCAAUAUAGCUCCACCUGGAAUUUCCAGUACAAACAACACAUUCUAUUCAUCUGGAAGAAAGAAUCUGUGUUUGACAGAGGGACGUUCUCAAAAAAGCGUCAGCUUGAGUUGUUUUGACUAGCUGGGAGAAGGUGCCAUGGUUGGUAAAAGGGACUGGAAUCCACCUCAAUGGUGGUUUGUGGAGUGUAUCUCAUGGAGAAUGUCUUAGAAAUACAAUCUCUCAGAUCCCAUGCAGACUGAAUCGAAAACUCUGGGAGAUCAAGAAAAAAAAAAAGGCUCAGAUGACUUUAUCACUGCUGAAGAUCACAGAGCUCGUUAGUCCUUAAUUCCAAAUUAAAUUUGAAUUUACCUGGCUCUUUCUUCUGUGCAAGCACUUCUCAAAAUGCAGCCAUGCAACACACAGCCUGAUGCAUCUCUGCACUUGGACUCCAGGCACCAGUCAUGAGAAAAAGUCCCCAAGGUGACUUUGUGCUGUGCUCACUGUAUUUUCUGAAGACUUCUAAUCUCUUCAAUGUGUCUUGCCUAACUCUCACAAAAAAAAAAAAAAAAAA